rnacentral:lncRNA from 1 species
UGAUUUAUCAAACGUGUAUUAUCAGGAAGAUGUCAAACGAAGGGCACCUUGCUUCCCACUGACGCAAACCCGGCCUUUCCUGGGGAGAUAUAGAAAGCGCCUCUUGUUCCAGGGCCAAACCUAGACCAGUAGCGGGGUUUUACUCUACGGUUCAAUCUGUUGUCCGCAUCAGACAUGGAUUGCAGUGCUCCCAAGGAAAUGAAUAAACCACCAACCAACAUCUUGGAGGCAACGGUGCCGGGCCACCGGGAUAGCCCUCGAGCACCUAGGACCAGCCCUGAGCAGGAUCUUCCUGCGGCAGCCCCCGCGGCCG